UCCAACAAGCCUUCAUUAGUUUGUGUUCAAAGGUUGUAGUUUUUGGUGUCUCCUGAUUUCCAGAGAAACAGGAAGGGAGAGAGAAUGGAUGCACCAGCUUAUCAAGAGAUGUCAUAUGCUGAUCAUGUUAAGAGGAGGCAUGAGGACAAAGGCUUCCUCUAUGCCUGCUUGUUUGCUCUGUGUUGCUGUUUUUGCUGCUUCGAGACUUGUGAAUGUUGCUUAGAUGUUCUGUGCUGCUGCUGCUAAUUAAGACAGUGAAGACUUCUGUUGUGUUGUAUCAGUUCACUUUAAUAAAUUACUGCUGCUGCUGUUGGUGUAGUUGUCACUACUCAGUGACGACAGUUUGCGUCUUUCCAGUUAAUUCCCUGUGUUAUGUCUCACCUAUGUUAUUCUGCUACAUAAUUUUAUUAAUAAAAGUGUUGAACAUUCAUAUA